rnacentral:rRNA from 1 species
AUGCAUGUGUAAGUACGAGCAAAAUGAAUGCUCUAGCCGUGGACGGCUCAUUAAAUCAGCUAUGAUUUGUUGGAUCUGUAUACCCAGUUUAUUUGGAUAACUGUGGUAAUUCUAGAGCUAAUACAUGAUUCUUACAGUCCCUAACUCCUAUGCAAAUAAAUCGAGGAAGGGUGCUUUUAUUAUUGAAUACAAACUGGCUGUAUAUAUGACCUUGGUCUAUGUACAAAAAACCCAAUUAUGAUGACUCAAAAUAACUUUGAGCUGAGCGCCAAGCCUUAGUGCUAGUGCUGUUUCUUUCAAGUGUCUGCCUUAUCAGCUUUCGAUUGUAAGUUAUGUGCUUACAAUGGCUAUAACGGGUAACGGGGAAUCAGGGUUCGAUUCCGGAGAGGGAGCCUGAGAAACGGCUACCACUUCUAAGGAAGGCAGCAGGCACGCAAAUUACCCACUCCCAGCACGGGGAGGUAGUGACGAAAAAUAACGAUGCAAGACUCAUCCGAGGCUUUGCAAUCGGAAUGAGAACACUUUAAAUCCUUUAUCUAGUAUCCAUUGGAGGGCAAGUCUGGUGCCAGCAGCCGCGGUAAUUCCAGCUCCAAUAGCAUAUACCAAUGUUGUUGCGGUUAAAAAGCUCGUAGUUGGCUCACUGGGGGAGCUUUGAAAAGUCUUCACCGAAAGGUAGUGGACUAUAAACAGAUGAUUCUUCUUAUAUAUCCUCACCGCGACAAUAGUUG